UUUUUUGAAAUAGGGGGUUGGGGGAGUCGAACCUUAACCUCUCAGGUCUAUCAGGAUGCACUUUCCACCAGGCUAAGCUUCGGAGUGCUCAUGAUCAACAAUGUUAUUAUAUCAAGAUUCCAUUCUUGCUUUCUUCACAUUUAAUGAAUGAAACGAAUCAUAGGGCAACUGUGCAGUGAGAUAAACUACAAAAUUAUUCCUUCUUACAAUAAUGUUUUGAAGCUGCAAACUGCCCAGAGAAGGAGAUCAGAUCCCUCUUCCAUAUUAAUAUUACAACUUGUUUCAAUUAUCCUUAAUAGUUCUUUGAUUCUGGGAAAAGAAAAGAAAACAUAACUAUUGUAUGUGUCGGGUUAUGCUAUAGUCAUUGAUUACAGUGGCUGGAUUAACGAGCUUAUGUCUCUUUCUCAUAUUAUUCCAUCAGGCUUAUGAGUCAAGCUUUGGCUCUCACAGUAUUCUUCUUCUUCUAUUGAGACAAAUAUCGGCAAGGGGCUCCACCACUCACUCUGCCCCAGUCAAUCAAUUCAAUUUAGAUGGUCUUUUUUAUGUGUUGCAAUUGGGACACAAACUCAGCUAUCCUC
rnacentral:lncRNA from 1 species